UGGGGAAUAUUGCACAAUGGGCGCAAGCCUGAUGCAGCCAUGCCGCGUGUGUGAAGAAGGCCUUCGGGUUGUAAAGCACUUUCAGCGAGGAGGAAGGUGGUGAACUUAAUACGUUCAUCAAUUGACGUUACUCGCAGAAGAAGCACCGGCUAACUCCGUGCCAGCAGCCGCGGUAAUACGGAGGGUGCAAGCGUUAAUCGGAAUUACUGGGCGUAAAGCGCACGCAGGCGGUUUUGUUAAGUCAGAUGUGAAAUCCCCGGGCUCAACCUGGGAACUGCAUUUGAAACUGGCAAGCUAGAGUCUCGUAGAGGGGGGUAGAAUUCCAGGUGUAGCGGUGAAAUGCGUAGAGAUCUGGAGGAAUACCGGUGGCGAAGCGGCCCCCUGGACGAAGACUGACGCUCAGGUGCGAAAGCGUGGGGCAGCAAACA
rnacentral:rRNA from 1 species